rnacentral:rRNA from 1 species
ACAGCAGCAGCCGCGGUAAUACGUAGGUGGCAAGCGUUGUCCGGAAUUAUUGGGCGUAAAGCGCGCGCAGGUGGUUUAAUAAGUCUGAUGUGAAAGCCCACGGCUCAACCGUGGAGGGUCAUUGGAAACUGUUAAACUUGAAUGCAGGAGAGAAAAGUGGAAUUCCUAGUGUAGCGGUGAAAUGCGUAGAGAUUAGGAGGAACACCAGUGGCGAAGGCGGCUUUUUGGCCUGUAACUGACACUGAGGCGCGAAAGCGUGGGGAGCGAACGGGAUUAGAGACCCCUGUAGUCCCUGUCUCUUAUAA